CACCCCCACAGCAACACACAACUGUCACACACACACUGUACAUAUACACAAGCACACCCCCACAGCAACACACAACUGCCACACACACUGUAUGUACAUAUACACAAGCACACUCCCACAGCAACACACAACUGCCACACACACACACUGUACAUAUACACAAGCACACUCCCACAGCAACAUGUACUUACAAACACAAAGAAAUGGAGGCUUGGAGGGCCUCGACUGAGGAAAGGAGCGUGAAAGGGAAAUGUAUUGAAGAAGUGGGUGGAGCAGUGGUUCUUACCAUUCAGGGAACCUUGGCAUUAUGGGUAACUCACUAGAACACCCAUACUGUCCCCUGUGUGCUCACCCUCAGGGUGAGGUGCUGGGAUUGCCAUUCUUAACAGUUUCUUUGGGUGGCUGUUGGGAUUGGGGACCUUUGGAGUUUUACUAUUUCUGUUUUGACCCCAUAUCUGUAAUUUGGUAGUCGGGGAUCACAAUUUUACAAAACAUUUGUACUCUAGGCUCAAUCACACACAAAACAGAGAUAAUGGUAAUUUAAUGGGUGUAAGGCUGAGCUGAUGUUCACAAACAUAUCUAGUGUAACAUUAAUUUAUCUAAGCACUCAGUUUCCUUCUUUUUUAUUUUUUCUUGGCAAGAACAAGCAUUCUUUAUUGCCUCCAUGGUCCCUUGUUAAAUUUACAUAACUUAGGUAAAACUGUUAUUUCAUUUUUUGUAUUAGAUAUUUUCUUUAUUUACAUUUC
rnacentral:lncRNA from 1 species